rnacentral:rRNA from 1 species
UGGGGAAUAUUGCACAAUGGGCGCAAGCCUGAUGCAGCCAUGCCGCGUGUGUGAAGAAGGCCUUCGGGUUGUAAAGCACUUUCAGCGGGGAGGAAGGCGAUAAGGUUAAUAACCUUGUCGAUUGACGUUACCCGCAGAAGAAGCACCGGCUAACUCCGUGCCAGCAGCCGAGGUAAUACGGAGGGUGCAAGCGUUAAUCGGAAUUACUGGGCGUAAAGCGCACGCAGGCGGUCUGUCAAGUCGGAUGUGAAAUCCCCGGGCUUAACCUGGGAACUGCAUUCGAAACUGGCAGGCUAGAGUCUUGUAGAGGGGGGUAGAAUUCCAGGUGUAGCGGUGAAAUGCGUAGAGAUCUGGAGGAAUACCGGUGGCGAAGGCGGCCCCCUGGACAAAGACUGACGCUCAGGUGCGAAAGCGUGGGGAGCAAACAGG